CUUCCUGCUGAUGCCCAUCGAGACUGCUAUCUUUUGUCACGCUCAGUGUCCUCCCUGCUUGCUGUUUGAUGUCACUAUCGACUUUAUUAGGCAACAGACCUGUGAUGAUGUCUCCAUUCUCCUACAAACUGAAAAUGAGCGCACACAGAAAUAGGAGACCUCUGCUUCAAAAAAGGCAAUUGUGGGUAACCCUGUACAGAAGACUUGGCUCCCUGCAGAAGCUGGAAUUUAGAAGCCAACGAGUCAGAGAGGAAAUGCAAGAUCCACAGCAGGAUCCUCUCCCAGUAGCCCCAUGGAGGCGCAGCUCUUGGCGUUUGUCUAUGAGACGUGGCAGAACAUUCCUAAAACAUCAAAUGCAGAGGCCUUCCUCCUUGUACUGCUGCAAGUUUAUACCUACAAGAUAAAACCCUGACUAUGCAGAGGCAAAAUCCUGAUACACUUCCAGAUCAAGAAUUAAUUAUAAAUCAACUGGCCUAAGAAAUAAAUCUUAUCAUUUUUAAUGUGUCA
ensembl:lncRNA